UCGAGAAUCUUCCGCAAUGGGCGCAAGCCUGACGGAGCGACGCCGCGUGGUGGAUGAAGUCCUUCGGGACGUAAACACCUUUUAUGAGGGAGGAAUUUUUGACGUUACCUCAUGAAUAAGGGGCUCCUAACUCUGUGCCAGCAGGAGCGGUAAUACAGAGGCCCCAAGCAUUAUCCGGAUUUACUGGGCGUAAAGGGUGCGUAGGCGGUUAUAUUAGUCAGGUGUUAAAUCCUGGGGCUCAACCCCAGAAUCGCAUUUGAAACGGUAUGACUAGAAGAAGUCAGAGGCAAGCAGAACUCACGGUGUAGGGGUGAAAUCCGUUGAUAUCGUGGGGAAUACCAAAUGCGAAGGCAGCUUGCUGGGACUUUCUUGACGCUGAGGCACGAAAGCGUGGGUAGCGAAGC
rnacentral:rRNA from 1 species